GCCCCCGUAGCUCAGUGGAUAGAGUAUUGGCCUCCGAAGCCGAGGACCGCAGUUCGAGCCUGCGCGGGGGCA
rnacentral:tRNA from 1 species